AGACCCGAAACCCGGUGAUCUAGCCAUGGGCAGGUUGAAGGUUGGGUAACACUAACUGGAGGACCGAACCGACUAAUGUUGAAAAAUUAGCGGAUGACCUGUGGCUGGGGGUGAAAGGCCAAUCAAACCGGGAGAUAGCUGGUUCUCCCCGAAAGCUAUUUAGGUAGCGCCUCGUGAACUCAUCUCCGGGGGUAGAGCACUGUUUCGGCUAGGGGGCCAUCCCGGCUUACCAACCCGAUGCAAACUGCGAAUACCGGAGAAUGUUAUCACGGGAGACACACGGCGGGUGCUAACGUCCGUCGUGAAGAGGGAAACAACCCAGACCGCCAGCUAAGGUCCCAAAGUCAUGGUUAAGUGGGAAACGAUGUGGGAAGGCCCAGACAGCCAGGAUGUUGGCUUAGAAGCAGCCAUCAUUUAAAGAAAGCGUAAUAGCUCACUGGUCGAGUCGGCCUGCGCGGAAGAUGUAACGGGGCUAAACCAUGCACCGAAGCUGCGGCAGCGACACUUUAGUGUUGUUGGGUAGGGGAGCGUUCUGUAAGCCGUUGAAGGUGUCCUGUGAGGGGUGCUGGAGGUAUCAGAAGUGCGAAUGCUGACAUAAGUAACGAUAAAGCGGGUGAAAAGCCCGCUCGCCGGAAGACCAAGGGUUCCUGUCCAACGUUAAUCGGGGCAGGGUGAGUCGACCCCUAAGGCGAGGCCGAAAGGCGUAGUCGAUGGGAAACGGGUUAAUAUUCCCGUACUUGGUGUUACUGCGAAGGGGGGACGGAGAAGGCUAUGUUGGCCGGGCGACGGUUGUCCCGGUUUAAGCGUGUAGGUGUGUGUUCCAGGUAAAUCCGGUUCACUUUAACACUGAGGCGUGAUGACGAGGCACCACGGUGCUGAAGCAACAAAUGCCCUGCUUCCAGGAAAAGCCUCUAAGCAUCAGGUAACAUCAAAUCGUACCCCAAACCGACACAGGUGGUCAGGUAGAGAAUACCAAGGCGCUUGAGAGAACUCGGGUGAAGGAACUAGGCAAAAUGGUGCCGUAACUUCGGGAGAAGGCACGCUGACAC
rnacentral:rRNA from 2 species